AGAGUUUGAUCAUGGCUCAGGAUGAACGCUGGCGGCGUGCCCAACACAUGCAAGUCGAACGGAUGUAGCAAUACAUCAGUGGCGCACGGGUGAGUAACACGUAGCUGACCUGCCCUUCAGCGCGGGAUAACGGUUCGAAAGGACUGCUAAUACCGCAUAAGCUCACGGUUUUUAGAGGACUGUGAGAAAAGCUCAGGCGCUGAGGGAGGGGGCUGCGGUCCAUCAGGUAGAUGGUGCGGUAACGGCGCACCAUGCCGACGACGGAUAGGGGGCCUGAGAGGGUGACCCCCCACACUGGAACUGAGACACGGUCCAGACUCCUACGGGAGGCAGCAGUGAGGAAUAUUGCUCAAUGGGCGCAAGCCUGAAGCAGCGACGCCGCGUGGACGAUGAAGGCUUUCGGGUCGUAAAGUCCUUUUUUGGGUGACGAGCAGGGACGGUAGCCCAAGAAUAAGUGUCGGCUAACUACGUGCCAGCAGCCGCGGUAAAACGUAGGACACGAGCGUUAUCCGGAGUUACUGGGCGUAAAGGGCGUUUAGGCGGGUGAUUAAGUUCGCUAUGAAAGCGCCGGGCUAAACCCGGCGAGGCUGGCGGAUACUGGUCAUCUGGAGUGAGGAAGAGGGAAGUAGAAUUCCGCGUGUAGUGGUGAAAUGCGUAGAGAUGCGGAGGAAUACCAGUGGCGAAGGCGACUUCCUGGUCCUCAACUGACGCUGAAGCGCGAAAGCAUGGGGAGCGAACGGGAUUAGAAACCCCGGUAGUCCAUGCCGUAAACGAUGUGCACUAAACGUUCGGUUUCCGCGAGGGAGCCGGGUGUUGAAGCCAACGCGGUAAGUGCACCGCCUGGGGAGUACGGUCGCAAGGCUAAAACUCAAAGGAAUUGACGGGGGCCCGCACAAGCAGCGGAGCGUGUGGUUUAAUUCGAGGCUACGCGAAGAACCUUACCUGGGUUUGACAUGGGUUUGAACAAGGCUGAAAGGCUGCGGUUCCCGCAAGGGACAGAUUCACAGGUGCUGCAUGGCUGUCGUCAGCUCGUGCCGUGAGGUGUUCGGUUAAGUCCGCAAACGAGCGCAACCCCCGGGGUUAGUUACAAGUGUCUAACCCGACUGCCCGUGGCAAACGGGAGGAAGGUGGGGAUGAUGUCAAGUCAGCAUGGCCUUUAUAUCCAGGGCUACACACACGCUACAAUGGCGUAUACAAUGGGUAGCGAAGCCGCGAGGCGGAGCCAAUCCUGCAAAGUACGUCUCAGUUCGGAUUGUAGGCUGCAACCCGCCUGCAUGAAGUUGGAGUUGCUAGUAACCGCGCGUCAGCACAGUGCGGUGAAUACGUUCCCGGGCCUUGUACACACCGCCCGUCACGUCAUGAGAGCUGGUGAUGCCUGAAGUCGGGAAGCGAACCGCGAGGACGCUACUGCCGAGGGCGGCACUGGUGAUUGGGACGAAGUCGUAACAAGGUAGCC
rnacentral:rRNA from 1 species